rnacentral:rRNA from 1 species
UACAGAGGGGGCAAGCGUUAUUCGGAAUUAUUGGGCGUAAAGGGCGCGUAGGCGGCCUGGCAAGUGGAAGGUGAAAUCCCUCGGCUUAACCGAGGAACUGCCCUCCAAACUGCUUGGCUUGAGACCGGGAGAGGUGAGUGGAAUUCCCAGUGUAGCGGUGAAAUGCGUAGAGAUCAGGAAGAACAUCGGUGGCGAAGGCGCUCUGCUGGACCAUAACUGACACUCAGGGACGAAAGCUAGGGGAGCGAACAGG